GAACUUGCUGCUAUUUCUAGCCCUUUAAACCCCACAGAAAGAAUAUAUUUUAUUUAUUUUUCUGAAUCCUGUCAUUUAUCUUGUAGGUAUAUCACGCAAGUCCAAAGAUACAGUCAAAAAACAUUCCUAUUCGUGUCAGAAAUGUCAAGACUGUUGAACUGAUGAGCCUGUGAUGGAUGAAUAAAUAACAACGCCUAUAUGGAACAUUUCAGGAGACAAACAGAAACCCUUAUAACAUCAAGACAAAUUGGAGUGUGGUAAAGUUGAGGCAAUUCGUUUUGUUCUUACUCAUACGCAUGACGAUAGUAACGAAAGAUAACAUUCUAAUAAUUAAAUUGGAUGAUUCAGAAAUAAACUAUUUUAUUUCAUUUCUACCCCAAGGUAACUCCUAAUGCUAGCUUGGGAGCUAUAGGCUACCUUAGCAGAGCUUCAACGCCCCAGUCAGUCUGGGAGGGUGUGUCAGAAGACAAGUGGAUUUGGCAUGCACAUCAGAGCAUGAUAUACCCCAGCAUUCUGCUUCUAUCACAUGCCACACACCACACACAGUCAGAAGUUCACUCUCUCUCUCUCUCUCUCACACACACACACACACACACACACACACACACACACACACACACACACACACACACACACACACACACACACACACACACACACACACACACACACACACACACACGCAAACAACCUCAUGUGCACAGCAUGCUUGGGCGUGUUAAGUGGAUUGUAACACUGGCUACUGUAAUGAAUGACUCCAGCUUUCCCUUCCAAAUCCUUUUCAAAUAUGUAUCUGUAUCAUGGUUUCUAAUAAAGAUUUGUUUUUGUAUUGUU